AGAGUUUGAUCCUGGCUCAGAGCGAACGCUGGCGGCAGGCCUAAUACAUGCAAGUCGAGCGCCGUAGCAAUACGGAGCGGCAGACGGGAGAGUAACACGUGGGAACGUACCCUUCAGUUCGGAACAACCCAGGGAAACUUGGGCUAAUACCGGAUACGUCCGUAAGGAGAAAGAUUUAUCGCUGAAGGAUCGGCCCGCGUCUGAUUAGCUUGUUGGUGAGGUAACGGCUCACCAAGGCGACGAUCAGUAGCUGGUCUGAGAGGAUGAUCAGCCUCACUGGGACUGAGACACGGCCCAGACUCCUACGGGAGGCAGCAGUAGGGAAUAUUGGACAAUGGGCGCAAGCCUGAUCCAGCCAUGCCGCGUGGGUGAUGAAGGCCCUAGGGUUGUAAAGCCCUUUCGGCGGGGAAGAUAAUGACGGUACCCGCAGAAGAAGCCCCGGCUAACUUCGUGCCAGCAGCCGCGGUAAU
rnacentral:rRNA from 1 species